rnacentral:rRNA from 1 species
CACGCCCUAAACGAUGUCAACUAGCUGUUGGGGCCUUCGGGCCUUAGUAGCGCAGCUAACGCGUGAAGUUGACCGCCUGGGGAGUACGGUCGCAAGAUUAAAACUCAAAGGAAUUGACGGGGACCCGCACAAGCGGUGGAUGAUGUGGAUUAAUUCGAUGCAACGCGAAAAACCUUACCUACCCUUGACAUGUCUAGAAGGCCAAAGAGAUUUGGCUGUGCUCGCAAGAGAACUGGAACACAGGUGC